UGUCAGCCGCUAAUGGCAGAGUCCUCUGAGCGGCUGCUUUUGAAACCGAAGGACGUUGCGGCGUCCCGGUUGUUAUUGCCAGACUUCCUUUCCAGCUGCCUUUGCUCUGUUUAGAACGGGAUGGAAAGGGCUUCUGGCAGCUGUUCCGAUUGUAUCGCUUGCAUGAGAGACCUCUGAGCUUGGCAUCUGAGGAUAACAUCUGUCACUCAUCCAGCACUUUAAGACAAUGAGUACAAAGAAAAUGUAUUGAUUCUGAACGUGGCGUGCCCUUGCUGGCUGGACCCAUGACGGAGGAAAAGUUUGCAGGACUUAUGGCAUGGAGUUGCUUCUUCCAUUCUCCGAUCCAGGCGAAUCCAGCAGAAGGGUGUUUGUAAUUACUGUUUGAAGGAGAAAGGCGAGGAUGGGGCGGUCUUUAUCAGAACAGACACUGGUGCCUCAGUGGGCGUUGUGGUGGAUGGUGUUGGCAUACAGCUGUCAGAGGAUGAGCAUUUGGUCCUUCGAGGCACCAGAGGCCAGCGCCGUCCUGGGGAGUCUGAGCAUUCAGAGCGGAACCCUGUUAGUGAGGGAGAGCAGAACCCCUUUAGCUCUUCUAAAGUGCUGGUUUCAAAAACAGGGCCAGCUAAUCACCCGUGAACGCAGAGGAGGGAUCCUUGUGGAGAAUCUGGAGGAGCUUGAGAGAAGCUAUGAAUUUAUUCACUGCAAAAAAUCAUUCAUAAAUCAGUAUUUUCUUUGUCUUGCUCUUCAUAUCUAAAAAUCCUUUAGAUAAGAAGUUAAGACUUGCUUCAUAAAUUUUGUAACAAAUCUGUAAUUAAAUUUAUGCUAGAAACAAACAAAAAGCCAUUGUGGCAAGAAAAUAAACUUAAUAAAAAUAUACA
ensembl:lncRNA